rnacentral:lncRNA from 1 species
UAGGGAGUUGUGUAGGGGCUCUUUUUUUUUUUUUUUUUUAAAUAAGCCGAGGCUCUCCCAAAGAAGAGAGCACCAAAAGUAGCGGAGCUCAGGUACGUCAACCUAGUUGCAGUGGCCAGACAUGCGUUUAAUUUAUAGAUCCCUGUAUAUAGUUGUUGACAUAUGCACUAGACGCUAUAAUCACAUAGAACUCUAUGUAUCUCCCCACAGCCUGGGUAGCUACUGAAUGGUGGGGUCCAGCAAGGGCUAUUUGCUGGCCUUCAAACUGCACUUAGCCAGAAGGGCACAAACACAAGCUUUUUUUUUUUUUUCUUUUCCAUCACCCACUCUUUCACCUGUUCCCUUCCUGUUUCAGAAAGAUAAGUUCCUGACGUUCUUGCACAAGAGUAUAAUCAUUCUUAGACCCCUACCAUGGCCGUGGAAAAACCUUAGCAAUAGAGACUGUUUAGGGAGGGUGGGGAAUGUGCUGACCCCCUCCGGUUCUCAUCCUAGUGCUCCCACCAAAGUGGCUUCCUGUUGUAGCCUGAGUCUCUGGAUCCAUGCCAGGGGCGAUGGCAAGAAAGAGUAGAGCUGCUGUGUUUAGAUCAGUCCCUUCCCUCACAGAAUUCCUUUAGGAAGAGCAAGCCUUUUUAAGUACAGUGAUUGGCAAGUGUUUUCUCUCAUUCCUUUUCCGGCUCCUCAACUAUCUUACCGGUUCCAGAUCUUGUCUUAUUUCAUUUCUUGCCCUUCUAGAUCUUGUCUUACUCGUGUUUGCAUUUCCUAGUUUUUGAGCCUAACACAGCAGCUUGCCGUUAGAACCAAAUCAGUUGCAAAACCAGAGCUUUGAUGUGGUUCUGAGUUGCUUUAUAGGGUGAGAAAGAGCAGAAGGUAGAAUUCAAGUUCAGGAGUGUGCCUGGCUAGCCAGUGAAGAGACCAGCUCUUGGAAGAUUGAACUGGCAGCUCAUCUUUCUCAUUCCUUAUAAGCUUCCACUUAAAUGCAGCCAACGAUUUUCUAGAGGUGGUCUCACACACGCGCACACACACUCUCGGGGCAGCAGGAAUUAUUCUUCAGUUUGGAUUCCAUUUCCCCCUGCCACUUGCUGUUAGGCAGUUGAGUGUGGGUAGUGACAGCGAUCAAACCCCUUAGUGUUUCCUUUUUGGGAAAUAAGCAAUUUAAAAGAGAAACAAAAUAGGAAACUUGUAUACCUUAGUCCUGAAACUGUCUAUCCACUUUUCUGGCCUACCUUGUAGUCAGCUCUGAUUCAGGUUUACAGGACAAUAGUCUUGAUUUAAGCCAUGUCCUGACCUGGGCAAGAAAAUAGCAACUAAGCUGGCAGCCUCCCAGCAGGCUGCUAACACCCAAGGUGUCUGGGCUUGGAGAGUUCUUCACAGCUGAUGAGGACUUAAGUCAUUAGGAGGCCCAUGGGGACUUUUUAAAUUUUUGAUGAGAGACUGGGGGGAAGAAACAUAAAAUGCCACUUUGUAUCUUCAAUGAUAGCCUGUCAUUUAUAUUUAUGGUGUGAAUUUUUAGUCCUAUAUUUUAAUAAUUUGUAAAUUGAUCUCUUAUUCCAAGAACCCUCUGGACUCGUGGGAGAGUGUCUGGGAGUCCACUCCUCUUCCCCUCCUGACCCUGCUUUAUGGACUGUUUAAAUCCACUUUGGAUCAAAGAGUUCAGCAAGACCACUCGUGGUCCAGCUGGCCUCCUGACUCUAUAAGCCUUCACUGGAAUCGGGACAUUUUCUCCAGCCCUAGCUGUGAACAUGACCAGAGACAUUAUUUAUAAUUCAGCCAUUCAAGAUAUACCUGUACUUUAAAAGUCCUGUAUAUUUUUUAAAAGUUUUAUUUUUCAGGUGAACAGAAAUACAUUCUAAGAACUCUGCCU